rnacentral:lncRNA from 1 species
GGCAUACCCAACAACCUCAUGCCUUAUGUCUCCCAGGUGGCGAUCGGGCGACGGGAGGCCCUGAAUGUCUUUGGCAAUGACUAUGACACAGAGGAUGGCACAGGUGUCCGGGAUUACAUCCAUGUCGUGGAUCUGGCCAAGGGCCACAUUGCAGCCUUAAGGAAGCUGAAAGAACAGUGUGGCUGCCGGGUAGGAAGAGAAGGGAGAAGUGAGGGAGGGGAGGGACCAGAUCCAGGCAGAGCGGCCCAGAGGCGUGGUCAGUCCAGCCCGCUCCAUAAACCCUGUUCUCCGUGGGCCAGAUCUACAACCUGGGCACGGGCACAGGCUAUUCAGUGCUGCAGAUGGUCCAGGCUAUGGAGAAGGCCUCUGGGAAGAAGGUAGGCCCCCCCGCCCCACCCACCUCACCCACCUCACCCCACCCAGCUCUCAGCAACAGAGCAGCUUUGGCCCUUCCCACUCACCUCUCUGGAGGGUACCUGGCACUGCCCAGUCUCCUCAGCCUGCCUAGCACCCGGUGCCUGCGGGCCAGCCGCUGCUCUGCACUUCUGCUUCUUAAAGACCUGGCCAGCAGCUGGGCCAGGGCCGGCUCAGCUAAGCUCCAACUACCUCCUGUCUUGCAGAUCCCGUACAAGGUGGUGGCACGGCGGGAAGGUGAUGUGGCAGCCUGUUACGCCAACCCCAGCCUGGCCCAAGAGGAGCUGGGGUGGACAGCAGCCUUAGGGCUGGACAGGAUGUGUGAGUGCUGGCCUGACCCCUGCAGUUAGGGGCCAGGGAGGGGCUAAAUCAGAUCUGGGCAUGCCCACCCAGGGCGGGCUGUGGGGUGGGGGAGGCUCUGCAUUCCACCGUGGGCCCUGAGCACACACCUCGCCGUGUUGCAGGUGA